GACGAACGCUGGCGGCGUGCUUAACACAUGCAAGUCGAGCGGUAAGGCCCUUUCGGGGGUACACGAGCGGCGAACGGGUGAGUAACACGUGGGUGACCUGCCCUCAGCUCUGGGAUAAGCCUGGGAAACCGGGGUCUAAUACCGGAUAUGACUCCAUGACGCAUGUUGUGGGGUGGAAAGCCUUGUGCGGCUGAGGAUGGGCCCGCGGCCUAUCAGCUUGUUGGUGGGGUGAUGGCCUACCAAGGCGACGACGGUAGCCGGCCUGAGAGGCGACCGGCCACACUGGGACUGAGACACGGCCCAGACUCCUACGGGAGGCAGCAGUGGGGAAUCUUGCGCAAUGGGCGAAAGCCUGACGCAGCGACGCCGCGUGAGGGAUGACGGCCUGGUGUAAC
rnacentral:rRNA from 1 species